CUUGUGAAAAAAGAAGUGCGCUUUAUUGUAAUGAAUGUGCACUUGUAGUGUACUUCAGAUCUUAAAAGUAUAUAUUUUUUAAACUGUUCUU